UUAUAUCAUCAUGGUUUCCUAACACAGUUUUAGACUCACACACACUCAGAGGGAGAUUCACUUGGAACAGUGUUACCACAAGCCUGCUCUUCCUCCUCAAGUUGGUCAGUCUUGUGAAAUCAGUGUUCUCUUCUUCCAUCAGGAACUAUCACAUCUUGCGUGGAUUGGCAUAUUUCCUCUCCUGAUGUUGUUUAACUGCAGAGACUCAAACCCAAAUAUCCCUCUAUAGAAGGAUUCUUCUGCUCUCACUGGAUUGUCUCCUCAUUGGACCUAACAACACUCAGCCAUAAGUAUGCUUGAAACAACUGCAUCAUACAUCUUUACCUGAACACCUAAUGCCACAGACCCUUAACGAAGACUUUAUGGAUUGGAGCAUGAGCACUUUAAAGCGAUGUAAAAUUAUGGAGGAGCUACAAAGCUUAUAAAGUGCUUCAAUGUUACCAAUCAGAGCAGUAGUGGAACCAUUCCGAGGAGCUUGUAAUACCAUGCACAGCCUGCUCAUCAUCAGCCCAGGUGUCACUCCUGGGCACGUGGGGCUUCCAGCAUUCCUGCCCAGAGACUCUCCAUCACGAAAAGCAGAGGAGCCACUGCUGAGGAGCCGGGAGAGUUUCGGCAGUGCUGGCAAGCUCAAAAGCAGGCUUCCCGGAAGGGACUGCAAAAAGUCUGUG